UGUAAACAGAAGAAUGUUGUUCUUGUUGCGGACAAUAAUGAUCCUGAUUCUGGCCUUUUAUCUGGUGUUCACGAACUGGGACAUGUCCUAGGCUCCCCUCAUGAUGGCAGCGAGACCUCAACAAAUUGCCCAGCAAAUGGUAGAUAUAUAAUGGACCCUACUCUUUAUAAACAACAACCGGUGUUCUCAGAAUGCAGCAAGGCAGCAAUGAAGAGAUUUUUGGCCUCACGCGAUGCCAGCUGUCUGUUCCGCCGUCGAUGUCCAGAACCUGCCAGAACGGAGACACGCACUGCUGCUGAGCAACGAGACGAGGUGCUGAGAAAUAACCAGUGCUUGAGCAAAGUGCGCGAAAACGAGGAGUUUUUGAAUGCUACGGUGAUUCAGCCGUGCACAUUAAGUUGCUAUGUUAUUUUGCUAGAAACACAAGAGGUGGCAUCGUUCGAAAGAAGUGCCCCAGAUGGAAUGGGCUGCAACGAAAACGGAGUAUGUAAGGUAAUUUUUUUCUGCAUGCAUGUGAAAUCAUCAAACGGCCUACUCAGCGAAAAAGCCGUCGUCUGUAGCAGCGAAACGGCACCUAAAUUCCCAUUGGUUGCGACGCCACGUCCCGAGAGUGCCUCCACGGAGCGGAUACGGCGACGCGACGCCAUGGGGA